GUUCUUUUACUUGUAACUGGUGUCGGUUUAAAAGCCGAAGAAUAGGGAAGUACGUGAAAGUCGUACACUGUACCCGCAACUGUACAACGGUUCGCUGCUUGCUUGCUUUUGCAUUGCCCAAUGCUUGAGUAACAGCAGUCUUUGUGAGUCACUGCAACGUUUCGCCUCAUUGAAACUUGUGGGAAGGCUUGUAAAGCUUUGGAAUGCCGUAAUAGUCAGGAGACCUGCCAGUUAUUUUGCUCUCAA
rnacentral:ncRNA from 2 species